AAUUGGAGGCAGAAAACGCCCAACUGAGAAACGACAAUUUUAUGCUUCUGGACCGGUUAGAAAAGAAACGACUGGGCUGGAUUGAAGAGACGGAGGUCGAAGAACUUAAACGUCAGACAAAAGCGCCGCUGCUAAGAAAGCUC
rnacentral:sRNA from 1 species